rnacentral:rRNA from 1 species
GCAAGCGUUAAUCGGAAUUACUGGGCGUAAAGCGCACGCAGGCGGUCAAUUAAGUCAGAUGUGAAAGCCCCGAGCUUAACUUGGGAAUUGCAUCUGAAACUGGUUGGCUAGAGUCUUGUAGAGGGGGGUAGAAUUCCACGUGUAGCGGUGAAAUGCGUAGAGAUGUGGAGGAAUACCGGUGGCGAAGGCGGCCCCCUGGACAAAGACUGACGCUCAGGUGCGAAAGUGUGGGGAGCAAACAGGAUUAGAUACCCUGGUAGUCCACGCUGUAAACGAUGUCGAUUUAGAAGUUGUGGUCUUGAACCGUGGCUUCUGGAGCUAACGCGUUAAAUCGACCGCCUGGGGAGUACGGCCGCAAGGUUAAAACUCAAAUGAAUUGACGGGGGCCCGCACAAGCGGUGGAGCAUGUGGUUUAAUCCGAUGCAACGCGAAGAACCUUACCUACUCUUGACAUCCAGCGAAUCCUUUAGAGAUAGAGGAGUGCCUUCGGGAACGCUGAGACAGGUGCUGCAUGGCUGUCGUCAGCUCGUGUUGUGAAAUGUUGGGUUAAGUCCCGCAACGAGCGCAACCCUUAUCCUUUGUUGCCAGCGCGUAAUGGUGGGAACUCAAAGGAGACUGCCGGUGAUAAACCGGAGGAAGGUGGGGAUGACGUCAAGUCAUCAUGGCCCUUACGAGUAGGGCUACACACGUGCUACAAUGGCAGAUACAAAGAGAAGCGACCUCGCGAGGGCAAGCGGAACUCAUAAAGUCUGUCGUAGUCCGGAUUGGAGUCUGCAACUCGACUCCAUGAAGUCGGAAUCGCCAGUAAUCGUAGAUCAGAAUGCUACGGUGAAUACGUUCCCGGGCCUUGUACACACCGCCCGUCACACCAUGGGAGUGGGUUGCAAAAGAAGUAGGUAGCUUAACCUUCGGGAGGG